AGCAGCCGUGGUAAUUCCAGCUCCAAUAGCGUAUAUUAAAGUUGUUGCAGUUAAAAAGCUCGUAGUUGAAUUUCGGGGUUAGUAGGUUGGUCAUGCCUCUGGUAUGUACUGGUCUCACUGAUUCCUCCUUCCUGAUGAACCUUAAUGCCAUUUAUUUGGUGUUUUGGGGAAUUUGGACUGUUACUUUGAAAAAUUAGAGUGUUUAAAGCAAGCUAACGCUUGAAUACAUUAGCAUGGAAUAAUGAAAUAGGACGUUCGAUCCUAUUUUGUUGGUUUCUAGGAUUGACGUAAUGAUUAAUAGGGAUAGUUGGGGGCAUUAGUAUUCAAUUGUCAGAGGUGAAAUUCUUGGAUUUAUUGAAGACUAACUACUGCGAAAGCAUUUGCCAAGGAUGUUUUCAUUAAUCAAGAACGAAAGUUAGGGGAUCGAAGACGAUCAGAUACCGUCGUAGUCUUAACCCACAAACCUAUGACCGACUAGGGAUCGGAUGAUGUUAAUUUUUAAUGUACUCAUUCGGCGCCU
rnacentral:rRNA from 1 species